UAAAAUAUGUCAGAUAAAAUGAAAUGAACUUAAAAUUCAUAAAUAUAAAUAAUAUCUUGA
rnacentral:tRNA from 1 species